UUGCCGCUGCGAGACAGCAGAAGGGAGAGCGGAUACGCACGUGGCCUGCACGUGUCCCUCCUGUCUAUCUCCCUCCCUCCACCCCUUCACACACCCCACACACGCGCACCCAAGGGCGUAGGAUGGGGAAGAGGUGCAUAGAGAGCCUGUGCACCGGCGUCGUCACUAUGUGGCGCGCUUCUGACAAGCAUCAGCGACUCUCUCAUGCUGGCAUUCUCUGCAGAGCCCAGCGCUCCCACCGAGUCGCCCGUGUCGUGGGAGCUUUAGCUCCGAAAAGUCGCGUGCUAAGUGUUUUUACGAAGGCUCUCGGCUCCUCCUCCCUCUCGCCACCCUCCUCUGGUGGUUUACCAUACGCGGUCACCUGCUGGCUGCCACCAAUAGCGAAGUGUGCCAUCCUGGACUGCACGACGUCAACACCGGUUUCCGCCUCCAGCGCGCUCCGUUGCCUCGCUAUCGCACGCCUCGCUGAUGCCGUACCAGGCCGUAGAGCCCUCUCCACCUCUUCUUCGAGCAGUGUACAGGGCGUAUCUGCUGCCACUACUGCUAAAGGGUCACAUGAAUCCGCCACCGCUCUCGCUGCGGGUAAUACAGCGGGCACCUCCAACACUUCUGUGGCUCCCGCCCUGCUCUCCGAGAUUCGCGCGGUUCUGGAGAGGCAAGCUGACCAGACAUGGUUGCCAGUCAGUGACUUGUACGCUGCUUUGCCGUCCCAUGUGCGUCGAUGUUACGUGAAGCCGCACAAGUCCAUGGCCCACGUAUUGCAGAAGUGCGCCCAUGUGCUCGGCAUAUCGCUGAACGCGACGGGCGUGUACUACGCAAAAGGAAAGAUGCCUUACCCUGCAGCCUCGUCGAUCGAGGGCACCUCCUCGGCAGAGAGCAUAGGCAGCAGCCCUGGCAAGGCCGCUAAGAGCAACACAGUCAGUGCCGUGAAGGAGAGCCAAGCUGCAAAUCUGAAGUCCAAUGCUCACGGCGACAGCGUGGCUAGGGCAGCUGUGCACACCCCCUCGCCCCCAUCAUCUACAGAAAUGAACGCUACCGACCUUGACGCCACUUCUCCCAGCUCGAGUACAGCGGGCCCUGUGGGCUUCUUCUUCGACGUUGGUUUGCACGACAUACCGAAUCCGCCGCGAGACUUCGAUGUGACCCCGUCGGCGCUCGUUGUGGAUGGGACGCACUCCAGCGCGAAUGGUGCCGUGAUCGCGGUGCGGGAUUUUGUCUCGCACAUCCCGCCCUUCUUUGUUCCAGUGACAGAAGUGGUCGCGAAUAUGCCCGGCUACACGGCGGAACAUCUUGAGGUGUACCUCAAUGUCAAGUCGUUGGAGUUGGUAACCGUGGCCGGCGAGCGCUAUGUGCGCCUCUAUGGAAGCUUCGGCGAUCUGUCACUGAGUGGGAGUGAGGUAUCAGAGAAACUUUACGCGCGCUACCGCCCCGAUGUGGCUCUUGUAGCGGCGUUCGAAGCCGCCUUUGAAGGCAUCUACGACAAAUGGAUGCCGCUGCCGGAGCUGCUGCGCCGUGUUGGACCGGAUGUAACGGCGCAGCUGCCCUAUCAAGGCCCCGCUGCCAUCACGUACUUCGCCCAGAUGCAGCACCGCUUUGCUUUCGCAGUACGUGAGGUCCCCACAACGGGCGGCGGUGCAGCGGGGGCGCCAUCGUCACCGCAGUUCACGACGGAGGCCGCGGUGCUGCUGCGGAAGCCCGGCUACUCUGGCCUCGAAGCUCACUCUACGCCAACGCCAAAGAGCUUCCAGGCACUGAUGAACCUGGUGCCGGGUGACACGCAGGUCGACAUUGAUGUUGUCAGGUGCCAGCUCACCUCCGAGGUUCGCGCGGAACUGAGCCGCUACUAUGACGGGCUGGAAGGUUUCUUUGCCGCUCACAAACCAGUCUUCUUCGUUCCGCCAGAGACGCCGACAGUGGUGAUGCGGAUGCGUUAUCGGCUGCGCACUCAACGCGCGAAACUGCCGCUGGAGGAACAGUUGCGCAUAGCCACGGAUGCCCGCGAUAAGGCACGCAUUCGAUCUCUGCGCCGCAAGAUCGCUUUCCGUGACGACCCGUCUCACCCGCUCCACGACCCAGAAAACCUGGCGAAGGAAGUGAGCAAGCACCUUCCCCGCCGUGGCUUCGUGUACCUCAAGAUAUUUCUCAAGCGCAACGUGCCGGAGGAGUUGUUGAUGUACAUGCCCAAGCGCAUACGAUGCUUCUUCAACAACUAUCCGCAGUACUUCACUCAGUUUGAGUACCAGAGCGCCGGUACGUGGUGUCUCUGUCGACCCGAUCAACCGCUGCCGCGCGGGGUGAUUCGACAGAACUUCAGCGAUGGCGAUCUUCUCCGGCUCAUCGCCGAGUUCCUUCAGCAGCGCGGCGCUCGUGCGGCGUCCAUGGUUCACACAAACCUCCCCUUCGGCGCCCAGGAGGUGAUUCGGCGCAGGUACGGCGGUGUGUACUUCUUCGUGACUCGAUACCCGCAGUACUUCAACGUUGUGCUCAAAACGGACAAGCAAAACGUGAAAAGCAGUGCUGUGGUGCAUCUCAUCCAAGUGCCCAGCCAAGAGCUGUCGGACGCCACCAUGGCGGCAAGUGCGGCUUCUCUGAACAACCCGAAUGCGCCAAGCCAUGACGAUGAUGAUCAUGAAAGUGGCGACGACGACGACGAUGGGGACCUCGACGACGGCUUGGAUUGAGGAUGUGUGAGCGCACAGACCACACACGUACACACAUGACCAGUCAAGCUGUUGCUGAGGGAGCAAGUUGGUUUCUGCGGUUGCUCGCUGAUGUGAGGUGGGAGGGUGUAUGUGUGUCUUAGCAGGUUCGUGACUCCACAGUUUUCUGUUCUCUUCCGCCUGUCAAGCAGAAGGUGCGGAGCAGAAGCAAUGACGAACAAAAAGAUGAAAAGAUGCGUAGCGUCUGGUGGGGACGCCGUCAUCGCUCAUGGCGAGACGAGCGCUCAGGGCGUCCCUUUCUGUUCUAUGGGAGGGUGAACCAGGCGCCUCUCUCUCUCCGCCGAUUCGUCCUCUGGUUUGUGAAAAGGGUGACGCCACGUCAGGGGUUUCCCGCCUGCUUGUCUUCGGCUCCUGCACCUCUCCACCUUCCUUCCUUACGUCUCCUUCCGUCUUGCCUCUUCGUCUCGUCUCGUCUCGCGCUCCUCCCUUCCUCUCACCUGUCCUCCUGUGCAAG
rnacentral:misc_RNA from 1 species